GUGUCAGCCGCCGCGGUAAAACGUAGGUCCCGAGCGUUGUUCGGAUUCACUGGGUGUAAAGGGCGCGUAGGUGGUUGUCUGUGUCUCAUGUGAAAACUCAGGGCUCAACUCUGAGAUUGCGUGGGAAACCGAGAGGCUAGAGGGCAGGAGAGGAGAGUGGAAUUCCCGGUGUAGCGGUGAAAUGCGUAGAGAUCGGGAGGAACACCAGUGGUGAAGACGGCUCUCUGGACUGUCCCUGACACUGAGGAGCGAAAGCCAGGGGAGCAAACCGGAUUAGAUACCCGGGUAGUCCUAGCCGUAAACGAUGGGUGCUAGGUGUUGGGGGGUAAAGACCCUUCAGUGCCGAAGCCAACGCGAUAAGCAUCCCACCUGGGGAGUACGGCCGCAAGGUUGAAACUCAAAGGAAUUGGCGG
rnacentral:rRNA from 1 species